AAACACCGUUUAGUCAAGCAAGAAGCAUGCACACAAUAACGCGCUAGUUCUACACGGACUUACUUUGGUAGAUAGCAUGGUUCUAUAACGUAACACAACGUAGCACGCCACUCACGUUUUUGUUCUGUCCAUUGGUUUCGUGGAACCCUAUAAAAUGUUUUCACUACGUUAGGUGGUGUUGCCCUUCCACGACCUUCUCACCCUUCUUUAUUAGUUCCUAUAAACCAUCUUUUCCUUUUCCAUUUCCUCUUUAUUUUCUCUCUGUAGCAUCCAUUUUUGUUCCCUGUCUUAUACUAAAUUUCUACAUUAUAUAUAAUAUUGUUGUUACUGUCAUAAAAUAUACACAUACCCUCUAUUCUCCAACAACCUACCCAGGAGGAAGAUGAACGUGGAUCUGGAGUCAUUAGCAGAGGCCACUUCUGGGGCCAUAGGGUCACUCAUCAGCACCACUAUUCUCUACCCACUUGACACCUGCAAGACCAAGUACCAAGCCGAUGCUCGUUCCCAUGGUCGCACAAGAUACAGAAUUGGGUGUUCUGGAUCGGGACUUUGUCUUGUAGUGUUGUGUUCGGGAGAUGGUGAUCAACGAUGAAAGAUGUAAUUUCUUAGCUUGGGUUUAUUUUGAAGACAAAACUUUUGAUGCUGAUCUUCAAUUAGAAUAGAAAUUUCACCUUGGGAAAUUUGCGUAGUAAAAGGUUCUAUUAAAUGUGAAUAUACUCAUGUUGAGGAGAUGGUGAUCAAAGACAUGCGUAAUUUCCCUGCCCUUUUCAAGUAUUUGCUUUGGAGUCUGGAUAAAUUAUCGUUGAUCUUGAAAGAUGUAUUCUUUUUAGCUUGGGGGUAUUGUAAUUCUAGUUUUCUCUGUCUGGUUGCGCUUCUCAAUUCUUUGGGAUGGACUUUCCAAGGUAUCCGGAUCACCCAACAAUGAUUAUUUACUGUUUGAGAUUUGAAGAUUCUAGAAUGUAUAAACCCCCUAAGUAGGAUUAAUUGGCCAUUUUUGCUUACUGUUUUCAAAAUUAGUAUUGAAUGAACGGAACGGAGGCACUGGUUGUCGGUGGCUGAUUGACUAAUCUCAGUCUCUGCGGUAUUUGAUGGGUAAGAGAAGCACAGAAAAGAUAAAAUACUAUUGAAAAACUUAUACCCUAUUAUAAGAGAAAACAGCAAGAAACCAAAUAACACCUUUUGUGAUUGAAAAAUGCACUAUGUUUGAAAUAUAAGGGGAGUCUCUUUAUAGCAGCAGGAAGGAGCUAAUAACAAACUUAUAUAUCUGCAAUAACUAACUAAAACGCCUAUCUACAGCCAA